GGAUGAACGCUGGCGGCGUGCUUAACACAUGCAAGUCGAGAGGGGUAAGCCCUCGGCAAACGGGUGAGUAACACGUAGGAAUCUGCCUCUGUCUCGGUCAUAACCAACCGAAAGGUUGGAUAAUUACCGAUAGUCUCUAUCGCAAGAUAGAGUAAAGAUUUAUCGGACAGAGAGGAGCCUGCGGCCUAUCAGCUAGUUGGUGGGGUAAUUGCCUACCAAGGCUAUGACGGGUAGCUGGUCUGAGAGGACGAUCAGCCACAAGGGAACUGAGACACGGUCCCUACUCCUACGGGAGGCAGCAGUUGGGAAUAUUGCACAAUGGGCGAAAGCCUGAUGCAGCGACGCCGCAUGAAGGAAGAAGUCUUUCGGGAUGUAAACUUCUUUUAUUUGGGAGAAUUAUGAUAGUACCAAAUGAAUAAGUACCGGCUAAUUACGUGCCAGAAGCCUCGGUGAUACGUAAGGUACAAGCGUUAUCCGGAAUUAUUGGGCGUAAAGCGUGUCUAGGUGGUUAUGAAAGUUUCUUGUUAAAUUCCAAGGCUCAACUUUGGAAUUGCUGGAAAGACUUCAUGACUUAGAGACUAGUAGAGGUGUGUGGAACUCUCGGUGUAGGAGUGAAAUCUGUUGAUAUCGAGAGGAACACCAAUGGCGAAGGCAGCACACUAGGCUAGUUCUGACACUCAAGCACGAAAGCGUGGGUAGCGAAAANGAUUAGNNACCCUUGUAGUCCACGCCGUAAACAAUGCAGAUUAGUUGUUGGAAGUAUCGACCCUUUUAGCAACGAAGCUAACGCGUUAAAUCUGCCGCCUGGGAAGUACAGCCGCAAGGCUGAAACUCAAAGGAAUUGACGGGGGCUUGCACAAGUGGUGGAGCAUGUGGUUUAAUUCGACGAUAAGCGAAGAACCUUACCAAGACUUGACAUCUCGAUCGUAUCCCAUAGAAAUAUGGGAGUCAGUUCGGCUGGAUCGAUGACAGGUGCUGCACGGUUGUCGUCAGCUCGUGCCGUGAGGUGUUCCGUUAAGUCGGCUAACGAGCGAAACCCUUAUCAUUAGUUGUAUUUUUCUAAUGAGACUGCCUCGGUUAACGGGGAGGAAGGUGGGGAUGACGUCAAAUCAGCGUGGCUCUUACGUCUUGGGCUACACACGUGCUACAAUGAUGAUUACAACGGGUCGCAAUAUCGCAAGAUGGAGCUAAUCCCCAAAAAUCAUCUCAGUUCGGAUUGAGGGCUGCAACUUGCCCUCAUGAAGCUGGAAUCACUAGUAAUCGUAGGUCAGCCAUACUACGGUGAAUACGUUCUCAAGCC
rnacentral:rRNA from 1 species